rnacentral:lncRNA from 10 species
GAGAAACGGCGUUUUGCCAUGUUGGCCAGGCUGUUCUCGAUUUCUGACCUGAAGCGAUCCACACGUCUCAACCUCCCAAAGUGCUGAGACUACAAGCGUGAGCCACCGCGCCCGGCCUAUACAAUUACAUAUGUAUAAUUUCAUACUGAUGCCUCCAAUUCCCAUCAACACCAACAGGACUAUUCUUUACCUGCUUUCUCUUACAGUGACAGCCUGUUUCCAACAACACACGCGCUCACACACACUCAUUUUCCCAAUCCUAAAAUUCACACAAAAUCUCAGAAUUCCUGCAGCCUUAGCUCUAAAAAAAAAACCCUCAUACAUAGAGUUUAAGAUUUGUUUCCUCUUCUUUUUGUACUUACAAUUAGAACAACGAACUUUGUCAAGCAUUUUCUUAAAUCAGUUAUUUCAAUGGGGUUAUGUUAUUCUUUCACAAUGCAGUUUUAAUUUGCCUCUAUUUGUGUUGAAUUUUAGGGUAUUUUCACACACACUUGAGUCAGUUUUAUUUUUUGACCAUGUGAGACUAACACGCUUCCAAGAGUCAAAAGAAUACAGAACAUUAUAAUCAGAAAAUUUGCAAGAGAAUGUUGUAUGCCAGGACACACUCAAAUGAUUGAAUGCAAGUAUGCUCCAGGAAAUCUAACGCGAUGGGGAGCCCACCGUGGGGGCCUAAGAGAGGAAACACUUCCUGUAGGAAAUUGAGAGUGGAAUUGAAAACAUAAAGAUUAUCAUGACACAGAGCCCAGACUCAGACAAUAAUAGUCAUCAAAAUAUUCUCUAAAAGGUUGAGAAGCCCUACAAGCUUUCACUAAAAGAUUACACUGCCGGUGGUUGAUGAUUUGAUGUGCUGGUGGUCACUUUUUCCAUUAGAGACCCACAUAGUUUGAAACUUAAACUAUUUAACUACAAACACAAGGCAAAUGAUGAAAAGAUAGCAGUCACCUCAGCUGAAAUUUGGUGGAAGUAAAAAGUACUUCUCUGGGUCCUCAAGGAAGUUUCUGGUCUGAGAUGCAAAUACUCUGAACUCCAGGAAACAAGAUCAGUAUAGGAGAAAGCUCAUUUUGUUGUUUUUCAUAAAUAAAAGUAAUGAACGUUUAUUCUCCCAAGCCCAACGGAUCCUUUUCUACCUGAUUGUACUUACUCUCCAGAAAUAACCUCCUUCUAAGCUAGGGAACAACCCAUACCUCCAGAUUAGAGAGCUCUUUGUAGAGUUUCUGAUUCUGGUAUUACAGUACUAAGCAGAAAUCCACAGGGAAAUACUCUGCAAGCAUGUUAAUACUAACUUGUUAAAAGAAAAUCUGCUUUUAUUUUCAUCUUUAUUUCAUGCCAACAAAGCAAAAAAAAAAAUAAGUUACUAAACACCCAGAAGGCAGAAAAGUGACCUCUAUCCAUCUGCAGGAGCCAAGCAAGCGUGUGGGCUUCCGUAUGCAUCCUUUCUUUUACUCACUUUCUAAAUGCUGUAACGGUCCACCAUCUACCAGGUGGUCACAAGUCAUCGCUAAACUCAAUCUGAGGUCAGCCCACACGACUUGUGAGUGGUUCACUUAUAUUGCCUCUGCACCUGUAACAG